CAGCCGCCGCGGUAACACAGAGGGUGCGAGCGUUAAUCGGAUUUACUGGGCGUAAAGCGUGCGUAGGCGGCUUCUUAAGUCGGAUGUGAAAUCCCUGAGCUUAACUUAGGAAUUGCAUUCGAUACUGGGAAGCUAGAGUAUGGGAGAGGAUGGUAGAAUUCCAGGUGUAGCGGUGAAAUGCGUAGAGAUCUGGAGGAAUACCGAUGGCGAAGGCAGCCAUCUGGCCUAAUACUGACGCUGAGGUACGAAAGCAUGGGGAGCAAACAGGAUUAGAUACCCGUGUAGUCCCUGUCUCUUAUAA
rnacentral:rRNA from 1 species